CGGGGGGGCAAGCGUUGUUCGGAAUUACUGGGCGUAAAGGGCUCGUAGGCGGCCAACUAAGUCAGACGUGAAAUCCCUCGGCUUAACCGGGGAACUGCGUCUGAUACUGGAUGGCUUGAGUGUGGGAGAGGGAUGCGGAAUUCCAGGUGUAGCGGUGAAAUGCGUAGAUAUCUGGAGGAACACCGGUGGCGAAGGCGGCAUCCUGGACCACGACUGACGCUGAGGAGCGAAAGCCAGGGGAGCAAACGGGAUUAGAUACCCCGGUAGUCCUGGCCCUAAACGAUGAAUGCUUGGUGUGGCGGGUAUCGAUCCCUGCCGUGCCGAAGCUAACGCAUUAAGCAUUCCGCCUGGGGAGUACGGUCGCAAGGCUG
rnacentral:rRNA from 1 species